GCCUCCGUGGCGCAAUUGGCUAGCGCGUUCGGCUGUUAACCGAAAGGUUGGUGGUUCGAGCCCACCUGGGGGGCG